GCAACGAGCGCAACCCUCGACCUUAGUUGCCAGCAUUCAGUUGGGCACUCUAAGGUGGCUGCCGGCUAAAAGUCGGAGGAAGGUGGGGAUGACGUCAAAUCAUCAUGCCCCUUACUGACCUGGGCUACACACGUGCUACAAUGGGCGGUACAAAGGGUCGCGAACCGCGAGGGGGAGGCCAAUCCCAAAAAGCCGCUCUCAGUUCGGAUUGCAGGCUGCAACUCGCCUGCAUGAAGCCGGAAUCGCUAGUAAUCGCGGAUCAGCAUGCCGCGGUGAAUACGUUCCCGGGCCUU
rnacentral:rRNA from 1 species